GUUGGAGUUUCCAUUGGAGUUGCAGUGAGACAUCUGGUGGGCUGCAGUUGUCUGAAGGCUUGAGUGGGACAGGAAGGUCCUCUUCCAGUGUGCUACACUCACAUGGCUGGCAAGGAAGAAACUCAGCCCCAGAAAAACAAAAAACAAUUGGAUCCAGAGAUGCCUGAAUUGGAGAUGAAUUUUGGCGAGCUCAUUACCAUACUAAAAACCCUGCCCAAGGAGGAGCUUACUCACCAUUUUCUAUACAUGCGACACAUGUAGAAGAAUGAUCAGUGACUGCACUUGAGCUGACUUGACUCCAUCUCUACAUACAAUGACUCAGCCAGCCAGCCUCAUAACAGCCCUGUUUUCACCAUUGUUCCAGGAGGCAUUGCUUUGGGGAACUGUCUGUGGUGUCCUCCUUCCUUGUUGCAAAUAGUAAAAUCCCUUUAUUAAACCCUUCUUGGUCAUGGUCAUUGGGCUGUCACCUGCCAAGCAAUUGAAUCUAUCUGUUGUGUGGGUAACAUCACCUCUUACUUUUCCUGUACCUUUACACUCCAGUACAGGGUCUGGUGCCCAAUAAAUGCUGGUUGAAAAAU